rnacentral:tRNA from 1 species
GGGGUUGUAGUUAAGUAUAACAUUUGAUUUGCAUUCAAAAAGUACUGGAAAACCAGUUUACCUCA